rnacentral:rRNA from 1 species
CGGGUGAGUAACGCGUAUCCAACCUUCCGUACACUCAGGGAUAGCCUUUCGAAAGAAAGAUUAAUACCUGAUGGUAUGAUGAGAUUGCAUGAUAGCAUCAUUAAAGAUUUAUCGGUGUACGAUGGGGAUGCGUUCCAUUAGGUAGUAGGCGGGGUAACGGCCCACCUAGCCAACGAUGGAUAGGGGUUCUGAGAGGAAGGUCCCCCACAUUGGAACUGAGACACGGUCCAAACUCCUACGGGAGGCAGCAGUGAGGAAUAUUGGUCAAUGGACGAGAGUCUGAACCAGCCAAGUAGCGUGAAGGAUGAAGGUCCUACGGAUUGUAAACUUCUUUUAUAAGGGAAUAAACCCUCCCACGUGUGGGAGCUUGUAUGUACCUUAUGAAUAAGCAUCGGCUAACUCCGUGCCAGCAGCCGCGGUAAUACGGAGGAUGCGAGCGUUAUCCGGAUUUAUUGGGUUUAAAGGGAGCGCAGACGGGUCGUUAAGUCAGCUGUGAAAGUUUGGGGCUCAACCUUAAAAUUGCAGUUGAUACUGGCGUCCUUGAGUGCGGUUGAGGUGUGCGGAAUCCGUGGUGUAGCGGUGAAAUGCUUAGAUAUCACGGAGAACUCCGAUUGCGAAGGCAGCACACUAAUCCGUAA